rnacentral:rRNA from 1 species
UACGAAGGGGGCUAGCGUUGCUCGGAAUCACUGGGCGUAAAGGGUGCGUAGGCGGGUCUUUAAGUCAGGGGGUGAAAUCCUGGAGCUCAACUCCAGAACUGCCUUUGAUACUGAAGAUCUUGAGUUCGGGAGAGGUGAGUGGAACUGCGAGUGUAGAGGUGAAAUUCGUAGAUAUUCGCAAGAACACCAGUGGCGAAGGCGGCUCACUGGCCCGAUACUGACGCUGAGGCACGAAAGCGUGG